rnacentral:rRNA from 1 species
ACCCACAUAAUACGAGCGGUAGCACAGAGAGCUUGCUCUCGGGUGACGAGCGGCGGACGGGUGAGUAAUGUCUGGGAAACUGCCUGAUGGAGGGGGAUAACUACUGGAAACGGUAGCUAAUACCGCAUAACGUCGCAAGACCAAAGAGGGGGACCUUCGGGCCUCUUGCCAUCAGAUGUGCCCAGAUGGGAUUAGCUAGUAGGUGGGGUAACGGCUCACCUAGGCGACGAUCCCUAGCUGGUCUGAGAGGAUGACCAGCCACACUGGAACUGAGACACGGUCCAGACUCCUACGGGAGGCAGCAGUGGGGAAUAUUGCACAAUGGGCGCAAGCCUGAUGCAGCCAUGCCGCGUGUAUGAAGAAGGCCUUCGGGUUGUAAAGUACUUUCAGCGGGGAGGAAGGUGUUGAGGUUAAUAACCUCAGCAAUUGACGUUACCCGCAGAAGAAGCACCGGCUAACUCCGUGCCAGCAGCCGCGGUAAUACGGAGGGUGCAAGCGUUAAUCGGAAUUACUGGGCGUAAAGCGCACGCAGGCGGUCUGUCAAGUCGGAUGUGAAAUCCCCGGGCUCAACCUGGGAACUGCAUUCGAAACUGGCAGGCUAGAGUCUUGUAGAGGGGGGUAGAAUUCCAGGUGUAGCGGUGAAAUGCGUAGAGAUCUGGAGGAAUACCGGUGGCGAAGGCGGCCCCCUGGACAAAGACUGACGCUCAGGUGCGAAAGCGUGGGGAGCAAACAGGAUUAGAUACCCUGGUAGUCCACGCCGUAAACGAUGUCGACUUGGAGGUUGUGCCCUUGAGGCGUGGCUUCCGGAGCUAACGCGUUAAGUCGACCGCCUGGGGAGUACGGCCGCAAGGUUAAAACUCAAAUGAAUUGACGGGGGCCCGCACAAGCGGUGGAGCAUGUGGUUUAAUUCGAUGCAACGCGAAGAACCUUACCUACUCUUGACAUCCAGAGAACUUUCCAGAGAUGGAUUGGUGCCUUCGGGAACUCUGAGACAGGUGCUGCAUGGCUGUCGUCAGCUCGUGUUGUGAAAUGUUGGGUUAAGUCCCGCAACGAGCGCAACCCUUAUCCUUUGUUGCCAGCGGUCCGGCCGGGAACUCAAAGGAGACUGCCAGUGAUAAACUGGAGGAAGGUGGGGAUGACGUCAAGUCAUCAUGGCCCUUACGAGUAGGGCUACACACGUGCUACAAUGGCGCAUACAAAGAGAAGCGACCUCGCGAGAGCAAGCGGACCUCAUAAAGUGCGUCGUAGUCCGGAUUGGAGUCUGCAACUCGACUCCAUGAAGUCGGAAUCGCUAGUAAUCGUAGAUCAGAAUGCUACGGUGAAUACGUUCCCGGGCCUUGUACACACCGCCCGUCACACCAUGGGAGUGGGUUGCAAAAGAAGUAGGUAGCUUAUCACCCGAGAGCAAGCUCUCUGU